UACAGAGGUCUCAAGCGUUGUUCGGAUUCAUUGGGCGUAAAGGGUGCGUAGGUGGCGAUGUAAGUCUGGUGUGAAAUCUCGGGGCUCAACCUCGAAAUUGCAUUGGAUACUGCGUUGCUUGAGGAUUGUAGAGGAGAGUGGAAUUCACGGUGUAGCAGUGAAAUGCGUAGAUAUCGUGAGGAAGACCAGUUGCGAAGGCGACGUCUCUGGGCAAUUCCUGACACUGAGGCACGAAGGCUAGGGGAGCAAACGGG
rnacentral:rRNA from 1 species